AGGUUUCCGUAGGUGAACCUGCGGAAGGAUCAUUGAAUUAUUAAAUCCACAAUGCGAACCUAUCUGUUCCGUGCCUUAGCUGCCAGCAAGGCAAUUGGCUUGCCCAAUUGUACUUGCAAGCUGGUGCGAGUAAUUUGAUUACUUGCAUCAGUGGCGCUUUGGCAUGCUUAUACACCAGUGCUAACCACUGUCAAAACCAAACUCUGAAGCUUUGAUUGCUAUUAACUGGCAAUCUUAACCAAAGACAACUCUCAACACCGGAUAUGUUGGCUCUCGCAACGAUGAAGAACGCAGCGAAAUGCGAUAUGUAGUGUGAAUUGCAGAAUUCCGUGAACCAUCGAAUCUUUGAACGCAUAUUGCGCUCGAGCCCUCGGGCAAGAGCAUGUCUGCCUCAGCGUCGGUUUAUACCCUCACCCCUCUCUCCUUUUGGAGGGCUGGUCAGCUUUCUAGUUGGCCUCAGGGGUGGAUCUGGCUUUCCCAAUUGGUUCACUCCGAUUGGGUUGGCUGAAGCUUAGAGGCUUAAGCAAGGACCCGAUAUGGGCUUCAACUGGAUAGGUAGCACCGGCUUCUGCCGACUACACGAAGUUGUGGCUUGUGGACUUUGCUAGAGGCCAAGCAGGAAACAUGCUUUGCAUGUCUUAAACUUUCGACCUGAGC
rnacentral:misc_RNA from 1 species